rnacentral:rRNA from 1 species
UACGUAGGGGCUAGCGUUAUCCGGAAUUACUGGGCGUAAAGGGUGCGUAGGUGGUUGAUUAAGUCUGAUGUGAAAGCCCACGGCUUAACCGUGGAGGGUCAUUGGAAACUGGUCGACUUGAGUGCAGAAGAGGGAAGUGGAAUUCCAUGUGUAGCGGUGAAAUGCGUAGAGAUAUGGAGGAACACCAGUGGCGAAGGCGGCUUCCUGGUCUGUAACUGACACUGAGGCGCGAAAGCGUGGGGAGCAAACAGGAUUAGAUACCCCCGUAGUCCCU